UAAUAUAUUUUCUCCCAAUAGCAUCAGAGACUUCUUGACAUUUUAGAAGCAGAGAAGGCAGUCUUGUCAGAAAAGAUAGAAGAAGCUUUGAUGCAGCAGUCACAAAAACAUAAGGAAGUGCUGGACAAAUGUUUGGAUGAAGAAAGGAAAAGAAGUAAGGAGGCUGUGGCAGCUGCUGCAAAGGCUGAAAAAGAAAUAGUACAGGAGGUUGUUCUGAAAGCUGUAGAGGAGGAAAGGAAAAACAUGGAGAAGAUUCAUGAAGAAGAAAGAAAUAUGUGGAAAGCAGAACAUGAGAGACAAAACAAAAAGAUUGCCCAAGCUGUUUGGGAAGCAAUGCAAGAGCAAAGAAAACAUAAUGAAGUUAGUAUAUUUUAUUCUUCUAUGGACUUGCUUUGUUUGGUUUAUAUUUAAUUUUUAAGGUCUUUCUAAUUAUGUGAAAAAUUCUUAUAAUACAGUGUUUUUCACUGCUUGUUGAUAUGCACUGCAUUCAUAACUUAUUUCCAUUUGGACUGGAAAGAAUUUGGCAGUUUCAGAACAUAGCUCCUGCAACUUUUUGAGGCAUGUGUAUUGAAAUGAGAUAAUUGUGCACUGUAAAUGCCUGGUUUUCUUUACUGACUUCCAAAAGAGCCCAAGAGAAAUUGUUAAGAUAGUGACAUUAUGUUGUAGAUUAUUUAUGUGACUUUUUCAUUUUUAUACCUAUGGAAGAAAAGUUACAUUUAUUCCUUAUUAUGCUGGAAUCCCAUUGUCUCUCUUAGUAAAAGGAUGUUUUACUAAGAUAAAAUAUAGAGGAGGUACAAAAUAAAGAGGAUUAUUAAAAUCAGAAACCUAAAACAUUAACAAACCAAUGUUUUUAGAGCUAUAUUUUAGACAAAUGCUUCUGUAGGGAUAGUGGUAUGUAUUAAGAGGAGCAUUCCUAGCACAGUACUUUACGAGACAGUAGGGAUCUCAAAUUAAGUAGUUCUUCCAAAAGUUCAAUUCUGUAGUCUCUACUGGUCAAAAUAUCUGAAGGAACAGUCUGUUUUGUUGGUGGCCUACUUGCUUAAAAUUCUUUGGACUAUAAGAUUCAAGAUGUAUUUCAUUCAAAUCUUGGAAUUUUAUGUUGAUGUUUUUUUAACAUGCUGAAAAAUAAAAAAAAGAAAAAUAACAAACCACACAGCUUUAGAAUUUAAAGAAUAGGAUAAAAUAUCAUGUAUGUUUAAAACCCAUCUCCUUGCAAACAGAUGCCAUUACCGUUUCCAGUGUUUAAAAGAAAUAUUCAUCUCACAGCUAACCAAAUUUACAAAGUUUUUUUGAUGCAAAGCCAUUAUUAUAAUCUGCAUCUGUUUUGUGUACAUUUCUAGUAUAAAUGACUUUGUUUUGUAUGUAACAGGCUUAAUUUUUUUGAAUUCAAAGAUAAACUGAUAGGAUGUCAGUUUUCAAAGUAGUAAUUUUACUGUGAUAAGCAUUACUAUGAUAAACUUUUCAUGACCAAAGGAUAGUCCAGUGACUUGAAAGCUAAAUUUAAGCUAAGAACACUACUCAAGGUUUAGCUACAGUAGAAAUCAUUUAUACUACCCUGAAUGACUGUUGGUACCAGUGGUGCAGAGGAGCUGUUAACAGCAGAAAGAACAAUAACAGUUGCGUACAACAGUAAAGACAGACCAUAGUUUUAUACCAUGUGGAACAUGAAGAGAUUAGUAGUAGGAGGAAAUAGAAAUGAAUGUGUCAUCAAAUUAAUGUGCAGUUUAGUGCUAUUUCUAAGGCAGGUAGUUCUAUCCUUCUGUGAAAACUUGUGCAUCUUGGACAAAAUGCGCCAUCUGUCAAAUGAGAAGAUUCAUCAGGGAAUAGGUCUCAUAGUUGAGUGUGUGAGGUCAGGCAGGAUUCUACUUUUAUGUAUUUGGGUUGCACAUAAAAUAUAUUCAAGUGACUCAAGGUAGGUGUUUUUUUUUCCCCUGGUGGAACAUACUGCUGGAGUUUCUUGUUACUUUGGAAAUAAUCACGGGCAGCAUAACAUUAGUAGUUUAGUAUUGAUUGAUAUAUUUUCAGGCAAAAUCUUAAAUAGUGAGAUGUCAGAGCUUUUCCAAGGAAGAAAUUCAGGACUUCAGGAGGACUUUUCAGCUUAGGAUGCUAGCUAAUCAAGCAGUUGAUUAUGUUAGAUUAUUCAGUUAUAUACUGUGAUGCUGAGUAGUACUUUGUUAUUGGAGAAUGUUGUUAGUACUUCUCCCAUAAAUUUCUUCCUUUUGAUCUAGUUAUGCAUCAUUAAUUCUUUUUUCUAAUACUGAACAGCUCUGACAACUUUGAUGUUAAGAGGAAAGAUUUCUCUUACAAUGAAUUAUGAUUUCUCAUUUGAAUUAGGUUCCUUUUUUCAAAUAUUUAAUCUGUUUUCACUUUAGUAAAAUGUAGAUUUUUCUUGAGAUUUCUAGAGUUCUCUCAUAUAAAUAGUGUAACACGUUUGAUGUUUUGCUCUUUAAUCUCUGGUUUAUUAAUGCAAGUUCUUCAGGAAAGAUGGACUUUCAUAUGGAAUGCUUUUCUUUGCAUAAACUUUCACUUUUUAUUUCUACUAUGAAAUUACUUACCUCCAUAAGCCAUUACUCUUAUAAACAUUCUACAGCUACUAAAAUUUUCUCAAUCUGGCAACAAAGAAAGCCAUAUAAAGCUGAUAUGCCAAAUAUGAAGUUGUCAGAAGUGACUUUGAUUUAGAGCUGAAAAAUAGUUGGAACUACCAUCAAGCAGUUUGUCAACUGACAGUGGUUUUAUAGAGCCUUCUACUUAGUUUCUUAUUUGCAUUUUUUUUCUUUAAGAUUUUUCUUACAAGAGGUAUAAAAACUAUUCACUUACUUGCAAUUGUUGUUCAGACUGCAUAGUCGACAUGUCAAGUCAGCCCUGUAAUGGCCAUUAGGCAUAGUCUAAUAUUUUGGACAUCUAAAUGUAAAAUUAUGGUAACAUGAUGCCUCUUUUAAUUCCUCAUAUCUCAUUGUAUAAUUCUUUACGCUUCUUGCUUCAGAAUUGUCAUUUGAUAAUACUAUGUUUAGCACCAAGUAAUGAAACAAGUGUGGAUGUGUGUAAGUGAACAUGCAAAAUAUGUCUUUUAGUGUCAGGCAUAUAAAAACAGCAUUACAGGGAAUACUGUUAUUACAAUAGAACUAACUUUUAAACCAACACAUGAGUUUGGAAUUUAAUACUAAGAAGGAGAAGCCUUGUUCUCAUCAAAACUCUAUCCUUUUCAAAUUCUCACAAACAGGAAGAAUGUGUUUGAGAUAGAAAAAAAAUUUUGUUUAAAAGUGUCUUUUACCCCAUUAGUAAUUUUGUAAUAGAGACUUAGAUUACAAUUGAAUUUUUAUCAUGCUGCAAAUUACUUUUAAGAGAUUGGUUUUAAUAAUUUGAACAACAAAAUAUUAUGUCAAGCAUGGUAUUAAAGAGGAAUUUUCCUUUGCUAAUGCUAUACAUCUGCAAAAUUGAAAAGCUGGAAAGGGUCAUGUACACUACUGCAAAUAGUUGAGGCAGAAUGGCUUGCAGUCAUGAAAUAUAUAGGUAAAUCUAGGAACGAAGAAUGAAAGAGUCUGAACAUAUGCUAAAUUUUAUGAUCUUCUUUGAGAUGAAGUCCCACUUUAUAAUCUGUGAUUGAAUUAUAAUCACCAUGAUUAACCUAUUAUCAAUAUCAAGAAUAUUGUUACCAAAUAUGCAAAGUAAAGAUAAACUGACAGUGAAAACAAUAACUGAAAAAUUCUGAGUUAAAGCUUCCUUUUUUAAAAGUAAUUAAAAGAAUAAGACAUCAUAAAUAUGAUGCUUAGAUUGGAGAGAAUAAGCUCUCCUUGAAAUAAGCAAGUCAUCUUUUAACUAAAUAAAACGUACACUUGCAAAGUAACUAUGUAAUUUUUUUGCAAAACGUUGAAAAAUUACUAUAGGUGAGGAUGUUUAGCUGGCUAAAUUUAGGCUGGCAUGUCUCCAGCAUUUAUCUUUUAUUUUGGUAUAUUGGAUUGUUUUGUUUUUUUUCAGUAGCAGCUUCCCUGCAAAGAGGAUUUAAUAGGCACUGUAGUUCUCAGUGUUGAGUGAAAUUCUUGAAAUAAAGUAUUCUAGUUUGAUAAUUUUCUAUCUAAAGUUUGGUUUUUGUUUUUGUUUUUUUUUAUUUAGCAGAGGUUGCCCAGUGCAUACAUAGGAUCUAUAAACUUAGCUAAAGCUGAACCUUUCCAUAUAGAACUCAAAAUGGCAUUUAAGCAACUGGUAUAAAUGUAAGUGGAAAAGACAAUGAACAGUGCUUUCCACUGUUAAAAGAUUUUCUUCCCACUUAGUUUUACUCUUUGGAAAAAAGAGUAAAUCUGGAUAGUAAAAAAGUGAAAAAUGGGGGAUAUAGGGCAAGUAAAGUAAUAACAAUUUCAAUAAAGUAGAAAUAACUAUACAGUAGGUCACUCCAAAAGUAAUGCCUCCUGUUUAUUGCUGCAGAAAUUACAAGCUCAAUAACAGAAUUUGAUAGAGCAAACUCUCCUCUACAAAACACUAUUUUUCAACAUAGUCACCAACAUUAGCUAUGCUUUUAUAUCAGCGAUGAACAAGAGCCUGCAUGCUGCACCCAUAAGAAUCUGCAGCAGUGGAAAUGACCUAAUGUCACUGUCACCACUGCUGAAACACCACCUACCACCUCACUGUGCUCACUCUUUGGUCUCCAAAACCAUUCAGCAAGUGUUAAGUGUCAAUCAGUGCCAUUUUUCCCACAUGGAGGAAUUCAGUUCCAAACCUUUGCUUCAUAUGUACUUCCAGAUUAGACUUUAUACUGUCAGACUGACCUCUGCUUUCAUCUCUCACAUGACAACAAUAUGUAAUGGAAUAGUGGUGGGAAAGUCCAACCUCUGUUGUCAUACCACCAUCAUCUGCCUCUGAUGUCAUGGGCUACCAUAAUAAAAUAGGAGGCAUUACUUUUGGACCAAGCCUCAUAUAAUUACUUGUCAAUGCAGAGUACAUAUAACAUUAGCUAGAGCAACCAUAACACUAUAAUGCAGAGAGUUGUAUGUAGCUAUUUUAGCUCUCUGCAUGGUAGCAUUAUAAUUUCACAAAACUAAACACUUAAUUACAUAAAUGAGAAGAAAAAAUAAGAAUUUAUGCCUGACAAUUUUAGUUUUAAAAGAAAUCUUUAAAAUUGAAAUAAUAGCAAGCAUCUGAAGGGUGAGCCCUGGAUUUUCAGGUCUAUGCUGUAACUUGAAGGCUUGUAUUUAAAGUAUCACAUAGAAUCUACUGCAUUUUACCCUGAUUCUUGGGGGAAAAGGAGCCUGAAUUCAUAAUUGCCAUUAUCCAUGUGUGCUUUAUGUGAGACUCUAAAGAAGACUGCAAACAAUUACAGGAAAAAAAACAAAACAACCAUCCAAAGCUAUUUUAUUAAAAGAACAACAAAAUCUGUUCCUCUUAGACAGGAGCAGAAGCACUAAGGCAAAAUCACAAUGGUAACUAAUGGUAACUUAGUCAACAGGAAUUAGAACCUCUGUGUUGUGUAGUUGAUUAUCAAUUAUUUUCUGUGAUAUUUGGUAUUUAUGCUUCUUCUGUAUGACUAUUUCCUUCCCAGGUUAGGUAACUGCUCUGUGCUGUCUCUUGGCUUGUAUUGAAUUUAGAAGCCUAAGGUACUUUUUGCUACGUGCUUGCUUUGAGCAUUUUUUUCUGUCUAAACUAAAAACAUAUCUCUAUUUGGUACUACCUUGUGAAUGCAUCACUAUCACUUUAAACUCAGAAGAUUUUUAAUGUUUCUUUCUGACUAUCCAAAUACUUAUUAUUACCUUCAAUAUGCACAUUGUUGCUUGUUUUUCUGGACUCCAUAUUGGCUUUGUUUCAGAUCUGAUUUUAAAUAUAAUUGUUUAGAUGUUGCUGGUCAUUUAUGCAGCAGAUCUGCAAUAUAUGACAUUUCUAGCCACAUAGAUACAAUCUUUAUUUUCCCUGACUGAAUUAUUGUUUGCAGAUUUAGAGUACUACUUUAAAGGCCUUUUUCUAGCCCUUUAGUGUGAUCUCUCCAUUGGUCUUUCUCUGAUAAAUAGGCAGUGUGCUACUUUCUAUCUCUGCAUCAGAGAUUAUUUUCAACUUUCUUUUCAUUUUUUCACUCUAGUUAUAUUUAUUACUGAAAGAUCCAUUUUUUUUUUACAUAUAAGAAGUCCAUGAUAUUAACAUUGCCUUUACAUGUUUUAUAAUGCUUUUGUACUUGAGAAUGACCUAUACAAUGAUAUUAAUUUCACUUCCUGAAAUAGUCUUUGAAACUUCUCAUUUAUGAUAUACAGGACAUUGAGUGCACUGCCUGUUAAAUAUACAGAAUACAAAAUAGUAUCUGUUUAUCAAUUUUUCUUUGUCUGUUUCUUAUCUGUUGCAUAGCUUAUGAAAUCCUGUUGGGGAUGCAGGCAGUAUGUGAAAUGCUCCAUUUGUUCUAUGUUUCAUAAUAUGCCAGUACAAUGGUACAUUUAAUGUUGCAAUUCCAGGAAUAAAUUGUUCAACUUUAUUUGACUGAUUGAGAGAGUGUUGUUUUGGAAGGAAAAGCAACAUCUUUUUCAGCAACGGUCUUGGCCUAUCACAGCAUUGCCGUUCAUGUUCAAAAUUUUGUGGGUUUUUGCCAGAAGUCAUUUUUCUUAAUAUCAUGGCCCCUGACCCUAUUACAAUAGUGAAAAUUAUAUUAUGAAAUGUGAUGGAGAAAAUGGAGAAAAAAUUGCUUUUCUGAAUUCAUGUGCAAUUUAUAUUGCCUUUGCCGUAUUUUUCAACUUUCAAUGCUUAAAUUUCUCUUAAGAGAAUAUGAAAUAACACUUUGCAUGCACUUUUUUUUAGGUUGAAUUAAUUAACUAUAAUUUGAAAGUUACUAUUUUCUGAAAAAAUAUUGUCAUUGUAGUCUGUGUUGUAUUUCCUAGAUAAAAUGUAUUACUGCCACCUCAUCCUUGUGUGGAAACAGAAGAAUGUUCCUAUAAAAUUGCCAACAAUCAUAUCACAGAAUCAUAGAAUCACAGAAUGGCCAGGGUUGAAAGGGACCUCAAG